rfam:Ictidomys tridecemlineatus contig059223, whole genome shotgun sequence.
AGGGAUAUAGCUCAGUUGGUAGAGUAUUUGUCUUGUAUGCAUAAGCCCUGGGUUCAAUCCCCAGUACCACAA